UGGGGAAUUUUGGACAAUGGGGGAAACCCUGAUCCAGCCAUCCCGCGUGUGCGAUGAAGGCCUUCGGGUUGUAAAGCACUUUUGGCAGGAAAGAAACGUCAUGGGUUAAUACCCCGUGAAACUGACGGUACCUGCAGAAUAAGCACCGGCUAACUACGUGCCAGCAGCCGCGGUAAUACGUAGGGUGCAAGCGUUAAUCGGAAUUACUGGGCGUAAAGCGUGCGCAGGCGGUUCGGAAAGAAAGAUGUGAAAUCCCAGAGCUCAACUUGGGAACUGCAUUUUUAACUACCGGGCUAGAGUGUGUCAGAGGGAGGUGGAAUUCCGCGUGUAGCAGUGAAAUGCGUAGAUAUGCGGAGGAACACCGAUGGCGAAGGCAGCCUCCUGGGAUAACACUGACGCUCAUGCACGAAAGCGUGGGGAGCAAACAGG
rnacentral:rRNA from 1 species